GUCAAAUACAUGGUAUGUAGUGUGUGUAAUGUUUUCUUUAUUGAUUUAAUGUAUCUUUUAUGCAUUAUUUAAAAAAAAAUAGCAUUGUGCACUUCUUCUCUAUAUUCUCUAUAAGUGUGGAAAAUUUCAUACUCCUCCGUCCGCGCAAAUUUCGUAAAAAGGGAUACAAAGUUUUUGCUUCACGUAUUAAUAUAUAGAUAGAGCACUUACGCUUAGCCGACAUCUGGUACUCUUCGUGUUUACAUUUAGCAUUCUAGACGAACGACGCUCGUACUAGACUAACGCUGAUCACGGAAAUUCCACACACGUUUUAGAAGAUUUGACGUCAUUGUCGUUUUGCCGAUACUCAGAGAGCAAGUAUAUGUACUGCCGAAGCAAGUACAAAGAAGAAGAGAUGAAGAAUGAAGAAAGAAGUCGAUCCCACCCAUCAACAUCAAGCCUGCCUGAUACUCCAUCCAGCAGCGCAUCACCCCUGCCUCAAUAGGCAGGGAGUCACUUGUCCGGGCAGAGGGGUUUCCCCGAGGCCCGCUCCGCGCCUCCGCAAGGGGACGCGACGACCCCACGACGACGCGGUUGGCGUGAUUGCAUGCCACCAUCGAAAGCCAGCCAAAGUUUCCGGUGCCCAUAAUGACAAGGUUGCGCUAUGAAAGUGCAGAGUAUUCAAAACUAGUGGCUGUCAAAUAUCCAAACACAAAAAAACUGAAGAAGAUAAUAAGAAAAAAUGAAUUAUUAAAAAUUUCGUUCUAGCACAUAUAAGGUUUUUUGUUUCUUUGAAAAAGUGCACAGUAUUGUAACACACAGUCAUAAUCACAUACAUAUUUCUGUAAUAAACGAUUUUGUAUUUCA